rnacentral:rRNA from 1 species
AGUCACUGACAUUAGAUACCCCCGUAGUCCCAGCCGUAAACAAUGUGCGUUAGGUGUGUCGGUAACCACGUGUUACUGAUGCGCCGAAGAGAAAUCGUGAAACGCACCACCUGGGAAGUACGGUCGCAAGGCUGAAACUUAAAGGAAUUGGCGGGGGAGCUACCACAACAGGUGGAGCCUGCGGUUUAAUUGGAUUCAACGCCGGACAUCUCACCGGAUAAGACAGCUGAAUGAUUGUCAAUCUGAAGGUUUUACAUGACUAGCUG